AUCUGCUUUCCCGCACAAGAGGACCCAGGACGCCAUGCAUGAACAGAGGUCUCCAAACAGUCGGGAGAUCUGGGGAGAGUGUAGAGGGAAGAGUUCCUCAGGCUCUGCUACACAACAUUCCUGACUGGUGCAUCCUAGACUAUGGAAACAAAGAAAGGAUAGACAACUGCCAUUCCCAUUUCUACACAUCACUAAGACAUGGCAAACCACUUGACAAAGAUCAAGUCCCAAAACAAGAGCCUCAUCUUAAGGACAACUCCAUCAUCCCAGGUCUUUGCUUCAUUACACGAUAUGAAAAUCACCAAGUGAACAUAUGAGAAGGAAUGACCUUGCCAGGGAAGGCUACUGUAUGAAAUGCAACAUGCUCCUUUGAAGUGGGAAAAGUUCAUGUAAAUGAACUUGGAACUGGAGAGACCUUGAGGAAAUAGACUGUGACCUUCUUCCCCUUAUGGCUUGUGGGAGUGUCAGAGCAGAAGGCUCUUGACCUCCCUGUAGCUCUCUUUGCCCUGUAGUUAAAUGGAGCCACCAACUGCUAAUUUAUUUUAAAGCACGUGAAGAGCCUGUGAAACUGGGUGUGUUUGGUCAGUGCAAAUAUUAAUAAAAAGUGAAUGGUCGCAUGGACAUCUGCUGUGAGUUUGUCUGACAGGGAAAGUAGAACUGUGAGGCUUAGGCUGCUGCCCUGGUAUCCAUGCAGCUCUCCUGACAUUUCAAUGAAUUAUGGAUCCAUAGUAGUAGUGGCCAGAAUUGAACCAAACCACUAAAUCAUUUAUAUCUAUCCACUUACUUUUUAGUCUUGAGGCCUAAAUAAUAAGGACACUACUGAUGUAAGGGCUUAUUACUUAUCCCAAUUCUACUACGAUGACCGAGGACCUUAUGCCCUCCAGCUGCAUGGGCUGAAUGUGGGAUUAUAGAAUGAGUGAAUAGAACAUGUUUGCUACUUGUAAUAUUUGCAUAUGGUAUAGGAAGUUUGUGAUUUCAAGUGUACACUGAAUUAACCUCUGUUCUUCCUUACACAUCCAAUAGACCAUCUUUCUCUCUGUUUGAGUCCUCUUAUUGAAUAUUGAUCCAAUGAAAAUUUGUUAAGAAACGAAUUCCCUUCUAGCCAUUGAAACAAGGUGGGGAAAGGGAUUGUAUUUUCCAAGAUACGCAGUUUCUUUCACAAAUAUGAGAAAAUGCUCCCACUUUAGGCAUGAGUUGGCACAGAUGACAACUCAUAAAUGUUCCUUCCACACUAUUGUGCUCUAAAUUUCAAAGUCUCUUUGUAUUUAUCCAUCCCACAACAUUGACAGAGGUGGCAUAAUGUCACACUCUCACCUAAAAAGUUCAAGUGACUUGCCUACAGAGCUGCAGUAAUGACCAAGCUUGGGAACUCUGUCUACUGCACCCUUGACACAGAGUAUGGCCGCUAGACACACGAGGCAGGGCGUGGCCUUUAAGGAGCAGUCAGUGUGCUGUAUCUGACACUCUCUUCAUGUGAGAGUAGCAGUCAGAGAGGAAGGAUGCCAAGGUAAUGGAAACUUGGUUAAAAGGUUCCUCCUCUGAUACCAGUUUUACAUCAAUUCAUUUCAAACUUUAUUACAAUUGAAGAUUAAAGCCACACAGACUAAGUACUCUUGAGGGCAAAUUAUUACUUGGGUCAUCAACAAUAGUUAAUUUUAAUAGUCUUGAUUAUUAAAUUAGGUUUGUAGGGGAAUUUUGUUUGAAAGAAUUAUAGCAGCAAUUAGCAGGGAGCAACAAUAAAAAUAUAAAUUGUCUCAGUACCCUCUAUAUUCAAAGAGACGUUUUUCACUUCAUAAAUUAAACCUUUAACUAAGAAUGCAAAUUUGGCAUAGGACAAAGUAGGAACGUGUUGUGAUGUGGGAUUAUUGGUGAGAGUGAGAAUCAGUCAGCUUCUUGAUCUUUCUUGAUUUGAACUUCCUAAAAGUUUUUUUUUGAAAGGUAAAUUAUAUGUGAGUUUAUUUCUGUCACAAUUUCCAGAAUCAGAAGCUAAAUUUUCACAUGCCGUAUUAAUGACUCCAACUGUUUUCCACCUUCUGUGCCUUGUCUUUGCAUUUUGACAUUUACAUUGCAGAAGUAAUAAAAAGGCACCAUUUCAAGAGGAAUGCAUAAUAUAAUGAGUGCUGAGGAUGGAGGGUCUCUGCAGAAUUAAAUCCUCCUGUGAUGAAAGGUGGCACACUACAAAACCCUAUCCUACCUCCGGGGUACACAUCCUCAAAGGACAGUGUUGAAAUGCAAGAGCACCAAGAAUAGUAAAUUUAUUUGGUUGUCAGUUUCAAGUGUUAACAACUGGUGAUUCCUGGUAUACACCUGAAGGAAUCUAAGCCUGUGUACUACAGAUAUCCUUGUACAUAUGAGUCCAUUGUGAUACCUUUCACAAUAGUCAAGACAAGAACUAGGCUAGAUGUCUAUCAACAGAUGGAUACAUAAAGAAAGUGUAGAAUACGCACAUAAUGGAGUUUUAUUUAGGUGUAAAAGAACACAAAAUGAUGUUAUUUGCAAGAAAAUGGACGAAACUAGAGAUCACCCUGUUAAGUGAAAUAAGCCACACUUAGACAAAUAAUCUAGUUUUCUCUCAUCUGCUGAAUCUGGAUUCAAAAUAUAUGCAAGUGUAUGUAACACACACACAUAUGUGAGAGUAGAAAAGGAAUAACGUGAGGGAAAAAUGAAGGGAGCAUUAUAUACCGAUGUAAUUGGGAGCAACUAUGAUGAUAUAUGUGGAUGAUAUGUCAUAAAUAAAUCCUUUAUGUUAUAUGCUUAUUAAACAAUUAAUCU
rnacentral:lncRNA from 1 species